UACAGAGGGUGCGAGCGUUGUCCGGAAUCACUGGGCGUAAAGGGCGCGUAGGUGGCGACCCAAGUCUGUGGUGAAAGCUCGAUGCUUAACAUCGAGUCGGCCGCGGAAACUGGGUGGCUCGAGCACUGUAGGGGCAGAUGGAAUUCCGGGUGUAGCGGUGGAAUGCGUAGAGAUCGUAAGGAAGACCAGUGGCGAAGGCGGGUCUCUGGACAGUUCCUGACACUGAGACACGAAGGCCAGGGGAGCAAACGGG
rnacentral:rRNA from 1 species